CCUACGGGAGGCAGCAGUGGGGGAUAUUGCACAAUGGGGGGAACCCUGAUGCAGCGACGCCGCGUGGGUGAAGGAGUGCUUCGGCAUGUAAAGCCCUAUCGGCAGGGAAGAAGCAAGACGGUACCUGACUAAGAAGCCCCGGCUAACUACGUACCAGCAGCCGCGGUAAUACGUAGGGGGCGAGCGUUAUCCGGAUUCACUGGGUGUAAAGGGAGCGUAGACGGCCAUGCAAGCCAGGGGUGAAAGCCCGGGGCCCAACCCCGGGACUGCCCUUGGAACUGCAUGGCUGGAGUGCGGGAGGGGCAGGCGGAAUUCCUGGUGUAGCGGUGAAAUGCGUAGAUAUCAGGAGGAACACCGGCGGCGAAGGCGGCCUGCUGGACCGCGACUGACGUUGAGGCUCGAAAGCGUGGGGAGUGAACAGGAUUAGAUACCCUGGUAGUC
rnacentral:rRNA from 1 species